GUAGUGUUCCGUUGAGGGAGCAAUUGGAUAACCAGAAGACUUGUAGGUUUCGAAAUCCACCUAUGCUGUAAUUAGGAAUAGGUCCCCCAAAAAGUGGAUUAAACGAAAUGUCUAAAAUAACAAGUUGUGUUAGGUUGGCCACCCAACGUGGAAAUGGGCCGUUUAAAUUAUUAUGGUAGAAUGAUAAAUCUCCAACUUUAUAAGCUUAGAAAAGAACUCGGGAAUGGUACCAUCGAGAUUGUUGUCCUCAACUCUGAAUUCGAUGAGUUGCUCAAGAUUUGAGAGCGUAGACGGGACCUGACCGUUCAAAUUGUUUCCCAAUAAACGUAAUACAAUAAUCCUCAUGAGGUUUCCAAGCGACUCGGGAAGAGGCCCAGAAAGUUCGUUGACAGAGAGAUCUAGGUACUUUAAAAACCCAAGAUAGCCAAUUGACUGCAGAAUGGGACCAUGCAGUUUAUUGUUGCUCAAGUCAAGGGACUCCAACUUUAUAAGCUUAGAAAAGAACUCGGGAAUUGUACCGUCGAGAUUGUUGCCAGCAAUAUUGAAUUCGGUGAGUUGCUCAAGAUUUGAGAGAGGUGGAAAGGGGGAGAAGUUGAAGUGAUUGAAGGCGAGAUUGAGUUGCUGGAGGUGUGAGAG